rnacentral:rRNA from 1 species
UAUGAGGAGUCGGACCUGCCCGGUGACUAAUAUGUUAAACGGCCGCGGUACCCUAACCGUGCAAAGGUAGCAUAAUCAUUUGCCUUUUAAUUGGAGGCUUGUAUGAAUGGUUUGACGAGAGCUAAGCUGUCUCUUUUGAAAUAUUUAGAAAUUAACUUUUAGGUGAAGAGGCCUAAAUGUGGUUGAGGGACAAGAAGACCCUGUUGAGCUUUAGUGGUGUGAUAAAAUUUAUAUAGAUUAAGGGCCUGUGGGCCCAUAAUAUACUUACUAAUGUAGAGUAGUAUUUUAUUAUUAAUCUUUAGUUGGGGCGACUGAGGAACAUUAAAAGCUUCCUUUAGGAAUUUAAAGUAUAGCUAGUUGGUAGUAAUUAUUAAUGUGGGCAUGCUAGAAUUAAGAUCCAGUAAAUACUGAUUAAAGGAAAAAGUUACCACAGGGAUAACAGCGUAAUCUUUCUGGAGAGAUCUUAUCGAAAGGAGGGUUUGCGACCUCGAUGUUGGACUAAGAUAUCCUGAGGGUGUAGAAGUUCUCAAUGGUUGGUCUGUUCGACCAUUAAAAUCUUACAUGAUCUGAGUCAAAACCGGAGAUG